UUUGCACAGUUUCCUAAAUCAAGAGAUGAUAAAAGACUUGGACGAGUUGUAUGAUAUGACUGAUAAAUAUACAGAUAGAUGGCUCUCCUCAGGAAAGCAGACGAAACGGAUUAUCGAGAAGAUGUAUCCAUUAAACUAGACAAACUUAUACAACCAUGGUGGGAAUGGAGCUACCAGAAAA